UACGGGGGGAGCAAGCGUUGUUCGGAUUUACUGGGCGUAAAGGGCGCGUAGGCGGCGCAACAAGUCACUUGUGAAAUCUCCGGGCUUAACCCGGAGCGGCCAAGUGAUACUGUCGUGCUAGAGUGCGGAAGGGGCUACUGGAAUUCUCGGUGUAGCGGUGAAAUGCGUAGAUAUCGGGAGGAACACCUGUGGCGAAAGCGGCGCACUGGACCAUAACUGACGCUGAGGCGCGAAAGCGUGGGGAGCGAACAGG
rnacentral:rRNA from 1 species